CCUCAGCAGCAACUACCCCCGCAGGGAGGGAGGAAAGGAAGGGGAGGCAGCUCCGACCCGGAAGGAGAAACUGGGAGUGGCGGAAGUCGAAACCGCUUUCCUCGGCGCCGCCUUCCGAAUGAGGGUGUUCCUUUUCCUUUGCCUGCCCACUCGGCUUGUUUUCGCUUCAUCCGCGCGUGACUGUCCGUGGCAUAAAGCUGGAGUGACGCCUGUUUCGCGAGACUUGGCUUAACGUUCACUGGGCCUUCAAAUGCAGUCUAGGGUCGUUAUGUACUUCAGAGCGUCUUAGACGUGUUAGAUGUUCUGAAGUAACAAUGGACUGCAUUUCAGGGUUGUUGUGAACCCGCCUUUCAGCCUUGCCUCUAACCUGCGUUAUGAGAGACGGGGGCUGAGCCCACGCUCCUCCUCUACAAUAUGGGAUAAUAAUGAUGGGCUGCUUUUACACUUUCAUUGUCAGGACAUUAAAAAAAAGUUUAUAUAACUUUUUAAAAGGCACGAAAAUACUUUUUUCAUCCAAAAUAGAAAAAGCAUGAAAAUUUUUCCUCAUGUUUACUAUCUGUUUUGCUAGGGUCCAUGUUGAUGUCAAUCUACAGCUACAGUAAAAUUCUAGAUUUCUCCAUUGUUGGCAGCUGUCACUUUUGCCCCAGAAAGAAAGAAAAUGGAAAUGACGUGGAAGUCCUGUCUUCACACAAAACUGAACUGUCAGUCUAACCUUUUCUAUGUUUGUGUUUCUUCCCCUACUCCUUCAUCUGUCUCUAAAGCGGAGGUCAUGCUCAGCCGCCUGGUGCAGUGACCACACCAGCUAGGACAGACUAAAGAGAAUUUGGGGGGCCCCAGGGGGUGUGAAAGCCCUGGACGUUGGCCCAGAAGUCCAGAGGGACUUGUCAAGUAAUGCAAUCCAGACCAUUGAGAUGAAUUCACGUGAAGCUGUCCCGUUUGUGCAGCUUAUAGACCUCAGCGGCAAUCUCACUGAGAAUCUCACUCAUGGGGCAUUCGAGGUCCGGCAUGGAAUGCAGUUUAUCAAGACGGUUCUCAACCAUCAUCCGCUGAAAGGCAUUGAUGAUGCCAGUUUUUACAGGCUUCCCUCACUGAAGCUUCUAGACCUUAGUUCUACAGAAAUGACCCCAAAGAUAUUGGAGGCCCUGCUCCAGUCAUCCCAGCAAUUGAAGACUCUAGAAAGAUGAGGCUUUGAAUAGGGUGCAAAAAGAAGUAAGGAAGGUGUUGGAAAUCAGGAAGCUGAAUACCAGCAGUACAUGGGGCAGGCAAAGGACAGCGUUGCUGCACAGGUCUGACCAAGCAGCACACUGGUCUGCUUGGAAGUGGUCUGUUAUGCAGUCCACAACUAGCAUCCCGUGGUUGACAGCUACCAUCAUAAUGGAUAAUGACGCUGCUGACUUGACUAGCAGAGUACCGAUCAUUCUGAAACAUGCCAAUGAGUCAAGCCAGCAAGACUGCUUUCUGGAUGAGGAAGAAACAGAGGAUACCAGUACGACUACUUGCAGUACUAAGACCACAAAUACCACUAGCACCACUUGUCCCAUUAGUCAGAGUUCACUAGUGGAGGGUAAUUCCAGCUCUUCCCAAAAUGAACCUAGUGAAGGGAACGCAGAACAGACAUCAGAUAAUGCACCAUUAAUGACUGAGGAGGUGCUUCGCAACAGGCUAAUGCAUGGAACUCAGAAAGAUGGUGCACCUCAAAUCCCAGGUGAUAACAAAGAGGCACCCCAGAUCCCAGGAGAUGAGACAGAUGCAUGCUUAAACAAUAUCUCCCCUAAAAAAAUGUCCCAUGGGACACACUGGGAGCAUCAUGAAGUGAAGACCACUGCGCGCCACAAGCUGAACAUCUUGACGACUGAUAAUGUCUCCUGGCUUCAGGGGAACAAUAAUCAAGCUGGUCUGAACAAGCGGCGAUCACCCCUUAUCCUGAACACAUCAGUGAGGAAACGCAUAUCCCACGUGAUCCGUAUGCUCAAAGUGGACUGCACAGAAUCAAAGGUCCAGCUGGCUUGUGCUAAGUUAAUCUCCACACUAAGUCUCCUCAUGAACCUCUUCAGCAGAGAGAAAACAUCAAGGAGACUUCCACCCUGUGGAAGUCAUACUGCUGGCCUAUGAAGAAUGUCACCAACAUGACCACAGGAAGUCCAAGAAAACUGGGGACACCUGAGGGGGACCUUCAUGAAGCUACUCUGAACAAGCGGCAAAUGCCCAUUAUCCCAAACACACGAGUGAGGAAACGCAUAUCCCUCUCACAGCAGACCUCAGAGAAGGCACCAUUAAUGACUAAGGAGGCUCUGCUCAACCAGGUAAAGCAUGGAACUCAGCAAGCUGGCGCAUCCCUAAUCCCAGGAGCUAACAAAGAGGCACUCCAAAUCCCAGGAGAUGACACAGAGGUGUGCUUAAACAAGAUCUCCCCUAAUAAAACGUCCCAUGAGACAAACUGGGAUCAUCAUGAAGUGAAGUCCACUGCUCUCCACAGGCUGAAGAUCUUGCCGACUGAUGAUGUCUACUUGCUUAAGCAGUUCCGUUAUGAAGCUAGUCUGAACAAAUGGCAAACCCUCCUAUCCCAAAAACACGAGUGAGGAAACGCAUAUCCCUCUCACAUCAGACCUCAGAGAAGGCACCAUUAAUGACUAAGGAGGCUCUGCUCAACCAGGUAAUGCAUGGAACUCAGCAAGGUGGCACAUCCCUAAUCCCAGGAGCAAACAAAGAGGCACUCCAAAUCCCAGGAGAUGACACAGAGGCCAGCUUAAACAAGAUCUCCCCUAAUAAAACAUCCCAUGAGACAAACUGGGAGCAUCAUGAAGUGAAGUCCACUGCUCUCCACAGGCUGAAGAUCUUGCCGACUGAUGAUGUCUACUUGCUUCAGCAGUUCCAUUAUGAAGCUAAUCUGAAUGGCAAAGUCAAAGUUCUUUAUUUGCGACCCAAGGUCAGCAUAACAUAACAUAACAACAUCUCAUAGCACAGAGAAAUACAAUAAGGAAGUAAAAUAUUUAAAUAUAUAGAUGGAUAUCCACAAACAAAUAAUCAUUUAAAAUUUUAUAAUUAAUCAAGGAAAAGCUCGCUGCCACAACAGUACUGCAAUAGAACAGAAUUUAGCCACCUUAAAGGUGACAUCUAAAGUUCUAUCCGCAAGAAGAUAGGAAACAUAAAAACCUCCAGAGCAACCUGGGAAGGGUGUCAGAAGAGGAGUAAGUAAGGAAUAUCUUAAAUUUCUAUAUAAUGGACAGCGCAACAAAACAUGUUGUAUGGAUUCGACUUCCCCCAUACCACAUGGGCAUAAUCUAUCCUCUCUAGGAAUCCCCAGAAACCUCCCUGAGAGCACCGCUGAGGGUAACAUAUCAAAUCUUGCUCUAAAAAAGGCCCUCUGAUAGCAUGUCAAGCUCAGGGCAUUCAAGUAAGCAGCAGGGUCCCAACUAAAACUGCUCAAACCCAGCCUCCUUUUAGUGCAAUCAGGGAUUCGGGAAAGUUCUUGUUGGAUUUCGAAGUCCAAGAGUCUUUGUUUCAGGAUCUGCCUGGCCUGGUUGUGACUUAACAGGACCAGGUAGUCCAUGGACAGACCCAAGGACACAAUUUUGUCCUGGAUAGCCUGGUCCCAGGUGGGCUGGAAUACAUCAGCCAGGAUAAGGGAAAUCCAUCCUCGGGGUGAAAAUCUGAUUUUAAGCCAAUAGGUCAAAAUAGACAGCCAGGCCCAGACCUCGAUCUUCAGAACACCCAACUCGAACCUUAAUAAUGCACUGGGGACACAUCUAGGUACUCUAAGUAGAGCCCUAAGGAAGUCAUUUUGAACUGCAUCCAUAGACUUGUAUGAAGGAAAAGGACCAAGUUGCGCCCCAUAUAAUAGCUGGCUCCUGACUUUGGCCACAAAUAAUUUCAAGGCGGCCGAUAUGAUCUCACCUCCUUUAGAAUAGAAAAAUCUCCAGAUAGCCAGAGAACUUCUCCGUGCAGUAAGAGUAACUUGAUCUGUAUGCGCCUUCCAUGAACCCGUUGCUUGCAGGGUCACACCUAAAUAUCUAUAUGUAUAGACCUGUUCUAACUGUUGAUCCUCAAUCGACCAUCUUAACAGCUUGUGCCUUCUUGAAAAAAUCAUGACUUUGGAUUUUGAGUGAUUGAUCAAAAGAUAAUUGGCUCUACAGUAGAGGUCUAAUCUUUUCAAUGCUCGCCUCAGGCCCACCGCGGCCCUAGCUAAAAUAGCAGCAUCGUCUGCAUAAAGAAGUAGAGGAAUACACACACCUGCUGCAGAUGGCGAAUGUAGGCUAGGGUCGGUUAAACAGGGGGCCAAAUCAUUGAGAUAUAAAUUGAAAAGCGAGAGGGCAAGGAUACAUCCCUGCCUCACUCCUGUAUAGGUUGUGAGAGUUCGCCUUUAGGAUGACAUCUAACCCUGAUGCUCACCACAAGCUGAACAUCUUGCCGACUGAUGAUGUCUAUUUGCUUCAGCAGUUCCGUUAUGAAGCUAGUCUGAACAAAUGGCAAACGCCCCCUAUCCCAAAAACAUGAGUAAGGAAGCGCAUAUCCCUCUCACAGCAGACCUCAGAGAAGGUACCAUUAAUGACUAAGGAGGCUCUGCUCAACCAGGUAAUGCAUGGAACUCAGCAAGGUGGUGCAUCCCUAAUCCCAGGAUAUAACAAAGAGGUACCCCAAAUCCCUGGAGAUGAUACAGAGGCCAGCUUAAACAAGAUCUCCCCUAACAAAGCUUGCCAUGGGACAAACUGGGAGCAUCAUGAAGUGAAGACCACUGCUCUCCACAGGCUGAAGAUCUUGCCGACUGAUGAUUAGCCAAAGACAGAUUCCAGAUGCUUUGUGAGAAUAUGGGAUUCAUGACCAGGUGCGACAGGUGAUGAGAAGGUGUGUUGGAGAUGAAUUUCCAGUGCAUCGACCUUUUGCACCAACUGUCCUAAUGACCACUAAGGGCAUUGGGAGUAGAGACAGUGAGUCAGGGUCUCCCUAUCUGUCCCUACUCGAUGACCCCUGAACUGACUCUGCUGCACUUCCUGUGCUGCAUCACAAUCCUUCCUUUCCUCCUAGAGAGCAGAUGGAAACAUCUCUCUCUCUCCUUACCUAUCCACUAUGUAGUCCUUUAGAUUAGAGAUAGGUCUUUCCUAUCUAAGUGUAUUUAACCAAUAAAUAUUUAGUGUUUAGUCAUACAAGGAUCUCCAUGUGUUUUCUUUAAAUAGCUGCAAUAUCCAAACCAUCCUCUGCUACCUACUCUGUAACUGGAGUGUGUGCUCAUUCCUUA